UACGAAGGGGGCUAGCGUUGCUCGGAAUCACUGGGCGUAAAGCGCACGUAGGCGGAUUGCUAAGUCAGGGGUGAAAUCCUGGGAGCUCAACUCCAGAACUGCCUUUGAUACUGGCGAUCUCGAGUCCGGGAGAGGUGAGUGGAACUGCGAGUGUAGAGGUGAAAUUCGUAGAUAUUCGCAAGAACACCAGUGGCGAAGGCGGCAUCACUGGCCCGGUACUGACGCUGAGGUGCGAAAGCGUGGGGAGCAA
rnacentral:rRNA from 1 species